AUUGAACGCUGGCGGCAUGCCUUACACAUGCAAGUCGAACGGUAACAGGUCUUCGGAUGCUGACGAGUGGCGAACGGGUGAGUAAUACAUCGGAACGUGCCCGAUCGUGGGGGAUAACGGAGCGAAAGCUUUGCUAAUACCGCAUACGAUCUACGGAUGAAAGCAGGGGACCGCAAGGCCUUGCGCGGACGGAGCGGCCGAUGGCAGAUUAGGUAGUUGGUGGGAUAAAAGCUUACCAAGCCGACGAUCUGUAGCUGGUCUGAGAGGACGAGCAGCCACACUGGGACUGAGACACGGCACAGACUCCUACGGGAGGCAGCAGUGGGGAAUUUUGGACAAUGGGCGAAAGCCUGAUCCAGCCAUGCCGCGUGCAGGAUGAAGGACUUCGGGUUGUAAACUGAUUUUGUACGGAACGAAAAGACUCUUUCUAAUAAAGAGGGUCCAUGACGGUACCGUAAGAAUAAGCACCGGCUAACUACGUG
rnacentral:rRNA from 1 species